ACUGCUGAUUUUGCAUUCAUUGUCGAGGGGAAAAAAUCCACGUGCAUAAGACUAUAUGUUGACAGUCGGCAGCGACGUGUUCAAGAAUUUGUUCCUUGGCAAUUGGAUGGACAGUCGCAAAAAGGAGAAGAUCGUCAAGGAUCACAGCUACAACGCCUUCUACGCGUUCCUCAAGUUCUUCUAUCUUCUACACUGACCAAGUUGAUUUGACGCCUGAACUUGCUCUCGAUGUAAUUCAUUCUGCAGACGUUUACGCCGUGGCCCACUUCUAUCAGGUGACUGAUCUGAUGUACGAGUGUGAAAAGAUUCUCAAAUCUGGUGUGACAGUGCAAAACACUGCUGCUGUUUACGAAAAGGCGAUUUUGUUCGGAGCUAAGGAUCUGUGUGAGUUCUGCUAUAAAUUUUGCAAGGAGCAUUUGGUUGACGCCAUGGACAUUUUUGAGACAGAAGACCGCAAGAGAGUAGUCGUCUUGGAAGUUUUCCGCUGGGCGGCAAAUGGCGGAAAGAAAAACUGAUGAAUUUGUUUUUCGUUGAUUAAUUGCGCUCAUGCAAUUUUUUUCUUGAAAAUAAAAAUUGAAU